UUGCAUGUGGAAAUAUGUCUGUUCCUCAUUCCUUUGGGAGCAGGAAUACCUCCAUAACAUGCUACAUAAAAGGAGUUCUCAGGGCUGCCAACCUUACAGUAGCUCUAAAAUCCAAGAUUC
ensembl:snoRNA